UCUGAGAAGCCCGGAGUCAGCAGGUCCUGCUGAAAGCAGAACUGAUUUUUAUGUCCCGCAGUAAAGCGCGAGCGGAGUUCCAUAAAGCCAGCGCAGAACACCUGCACUUCCCAGGAAUGCUGCAAAACUCUGGUCCUGCAUCCAGGAGGAAUGUAAAACUCCUCACCACGACAACCGGAUUGGCGGUGCGCUUUUGCUGCUGGCAGCACGCACAUUCGCAACUCGCUCAAAGGGUUGGCGGUUAGUGCAGGAGCCUUCACACACCUCUACACUGCCACCUCGGAGACGUGACGGCCGCUAACACAACAAAUCCCGAAGAACAAUGCGGCAAAAUAAAUUGCUUGACUUCACAAGGCCCUGCUGAAGCCAUAAACUCUCUCUCCGGGCAAUUCUGCUCUCAGCUCUAUCACUCUUUUUUCUGCUGUUCUCUCUCUCUCUCUCUC